rnacentral:rRNA from 1 species
AUCCUACGGGGGGCAGCAGUGAGGAAUAUUGGUCAAUGGGCGGAAGCCUGAACCAGCCAAGUCGCGUGAGGGAAUAAGGCCCUACGGGUCGUAAACCUCUUUUGCCGGGGAGCAAGGGCCGGGACGCGUCCCGGCCCGGAGAGUACCCGGAGAAAAAGCAUCGGCUAACUCCGUGCCAGCAGCCGCGGUAAUACGGAGGAUGCGAGCGUUAUCCGGAUUUUUUGGGUUUAAAGGGUGCGUAGGCGGGCUUUUACGUCAGCGGUAAAAAUUCGGGGCUCAACCACGUCCGGCCGUUGAAACUGGGG